GACGAACGCUGGCGGCGUACUUAAAACAUGCAAGUCGAACGGAGUGGCGAACGGGUGAGUAACACGUGGGUUACCUGCCCUGCACCUCGGGAUACGCCUGGGAAACUGGGUCUAAUACCGGAUAGUGUGGGAUGGGGCCGCGGCCUAUCAGCUUAUUGGUGGGGUAAUGGCCUACCAAGGCGGCGAAGGGUAGCCGACCUGAGAGGGUGGACGGCCACAUUGGGGCUGAGACACGGCCCAGACUACGACGGGAGGCAGCAGUGGAGAAUAUUGCACAAUGGGCGGCAGCCUGAUGCAGCGACGCCGCGUGGGGGAUGACGGCCUUCGGGUUGUAAACUCCUUUCACCAUCGACGCGGUAGAUGGAGAAGAAGCACCGGCUAACUACGUGCCAGCCGCCGCGGUAAUUC
rnacentral:rRNA from 1 species